GGAAGUACUGUACCUUUUAAAUGGUGUUCAGGGAAUUGAGAGUGCUCAACAUCAUUUGCAAUAAAUCACUUGCUUCUGAAGGACAGCCUCAGGUUGGAACUCUCCACAGCCCUGAGUUCUGGACCUACCAUUACCACCCUCUCUAGGAUAUGCCACCACUCAGACUUAGAGUGAUCUUCCAGUCUAUAAGCAUCCCUAAUGGCUGGGUUAUGUUGCUGUAGUCAUGCACUAUAAUGAUGGUCUACAAAACAGGUACAGAGUACUUCAUUAUGUGCACGAACAGAAAUGCUUAAAUGGAUGAAGCAGCUAUUUACGUCUGAUAGGAGCUAAGUGGGACAUUAAAUUAAUGCCAAACAAGUUAGUGAGACUUUAAUCAAGAAAAAAAAUAUCUAAUGAACAGUCAUUUGAAACACAGCAUUUGGAAAGGUCAGAAUGGUACAUUACAUCCUUAUUAUCCAAAAGAACAGAUGAGUUUAAUAUCCUGGCAGCAUUUUCCUGUGAAGAAGAUAUUAAACAAGAACUGAAAAUGGUACAAGGUUCUUGCUUCCUUUUCUAUGACAAAGAUUGUAACAAGAUGAUGAAACUACACAGAAUAAAUCCCUUUCUGCUUUAAUAGUUCAA